AGUAACCAAGAGUUCUUCCAUGUUGAAUUUUUAAAUUGUAUCCUAUUACCAAUAGAAUGUAUCCUGAUGAUGGCAUAAUGGCUGAAAAGAUUUGUAACUUCAAAAUAGAAAAACUUAGUUGCUAUUAGUGCUAUUUGAUUUAUGAAAUAUGAGUGCUCCACUUUUUAGAUCCAAGAAAUUCUUUUCUCAUAACAUUGGAGCAUAUAAUAAUCCUCCUGGAUACUAGCUCCCUUACACAAAUGCAACAGGAAAAAUGCCAAAGAGAAUUUCAAGAGAGCAGUAGAAGCAGUUCUCAUAGCUCUUGUGAUGCUCAGAUUAGGCCAUACUUCAAAUUUUCUGAAGUACAGUUCUUUAUGUCUCUGACAGAAUUUUCUAGAUAGUGGCAUAGGUAAUGAAGGGUUUCACAACUAUGGUUCAAUACAAUAACCUUAUUUCAGUCUCGUGUCUUACCCAAACUGCCUCUACAUGCCUAUGGACUUUACAAGCCUUCAUAACAACUAAAUCUGUAUGUAGUUUCCAAAUCAUUCCUUUGUCUAACAUAACACCAAUUUAUUCGACUUUGAAAGAAAAUUGUCCCUUUUUGCUGAAGAGUGAUGAUUCAAAAAGCCUCAUCAACUGCCUUCUUUGCAUAAAAGUUACAAUUAUAGUCUUUGCUGGAUUAACAGUUAACCCAACCUGAUCAGACUAUAUUGAUACUAUAUUGAGAGC
rnacentral:lncRNA from 1 species